AAGCCCCUGGCGAUGCUGCAGAGACCGUCGAGGCGAGGGAGAACAGGGCUUCGAAAGCCCAGGAAGGAAUAAUUGCCACCGGCUCUGCCCCACAGAAUAGCCCCGCGGGGAUGGAGGUUUAGUACCGAAUGCCAUCAUGUUUAAAGCAAUACCGACAGAGGACCGGCUUACUUUGCAGGAGGCCCCACAGUGCAGGGGCUGGCGGUCUGCCAGCACCGGGAGGAGGUUUUCCGGGCUGGGACACGUCUCAGCUGAGCUGUAGCCAUACGUGAGAACGCCCAGACACCCUUUCAGAAACCGUACAGUGGCUUUCCAUGGGGUGCAGAGCUGGAACCGGGGCUUCGUCUGCAGAUUGGGGCUGGCUUUUGGGUGGCAUGUGGCUCUGGAUCACGAAAAGCUGACUCUGAUACCAGAGCUAAUUUAGAAACAAAUGCAGAACGUCCCUGCAUACUUCCCCCCCCGCCUUAGUUUUAGCUAACAGAAACUGCUGGUCAUAUAACUAUGAUGGAGAUGGAUUGAGAUUAAUCUGUUUCAACCCAGAUGUGGCUGGACUGAAAUAGUGAGUAAAAAUAAAAUCAUCCUGUAAAUAAGAUGUUGAAAAUGGAAGAAUUGGGCAUCUGGAGCAAUAAAUGGUGUAAUUACUUAAGUACAGUGCUGAGCCUCUCUCUCUGCUGGCUAGAAAAAAACGUGGUGUUGAGGCUCUAAUCAGUGGAAAAAUGAACAUGUUGAAAUGGUUCUGCCAGAAAAUAGAAAUCCAGUUCCCUUCAAGAACAGCAGUGAAGUACAAAUGAAAAACAAGAUGAUUAAAAUGGAUGGAUUUAAAUAAGGGGUUUCUGCUGGCAGAGCUACAUGAGGAUUAAAAUCUGAUUUAAAUCAAUCCAGUUUUGAGCGUAAAGCAAGUGUGGUUUGGUUCCUCUCAGAGGGUUUCUUUUAAAUUGAACUUAAGCUGACCGUUGUAACAGCCAAGCUGCUUCUGAGCUUCAUUAAACCUCCUGUUACCUACGGAA
rnacentral:lncRNA from 1 species